UACAUAACUAUGCAUUAAUUAAUACUUACUUGAUAAAUAGUUGUGUUUGGUUUGUGUGUGUGUGUGUGUGUGUUUGUGUUUAAACUUACUUGUGAGGGAGACACGUUUUAUCACAGGAUACAUGAACUUAUCAUGAAUUUAACUCAUUACUUUGAGGCUAGAAUCCUAUGAUACAGUCACCACCACCACCAUCUGGAGAACAAGUCUACCAUGAGUCAAGGGGACACUUCAUAUUCAAACCAUAACAAUUACCAGAUUGCAAAAUAGAUCUUGAAUAAUACUGUUUUAAAAAAAACCCAAAAAUCAGUUAAAUAGAAAAUUUACAGUUACAGUACUAGAGUUGGACUUUUUGCUUUUAUUCUGUACAUCUGUAGUAGGCAGCAUAGUGAUAACAAGUGUGUGUCUACCUGUCUUUUCUCUCUGUGAUGCCCCACCCUCUCCCUCCCCUAUGCAUCUGUGAAGAUCAGAGGACAACUUUUAGCAUUUGAUUUUUCCUGAGACCUUGUUUUUCUCUGCAUGCAUACUCUAGUCUAGGGUCCCGAGUUUCUUUUUUCUUUUCUUUUUUUUCUAUUUCUUGUCAUAUACUAUGAGACUACUGGGUUACACAUGGGGACUACUACUUCAGGCUUUUUUGUGAAUUAUGGAAGUCAUCUGGUUAUCAGGCUUAGGUGGUUUCUGCUUUUAUCUGCUGAGUUGUUUCCCCAGCAUAAUAAUGACUUAAUGGAAAGUUAACCUAGAGGCAAGUUACAGUCACUUAGAUUUCAAAUCCUUAUCAUCCCCAGUCUUCUUUGAAUCUCACCUUUGCAGAAAUGUUCUCAUAUCUGGGCACUGUGUGCAUGUGUCUGGAUUCUGCCAUAGGAGUGAUAAUCAUGAAGACCAGAAGCUCUAGGGGCCUCAGGUCACUUGCCCAGGACAUGGUAGUAUGGACUGCUGAAGUGAUUUAGCUUGUAUUAUGAAAUACCCCAAGACAAGGGAAUUUGGAAGAGGUUCAUUUUCUGAGUUCUGGAGGCUAGACUAGUUUCUUGCACUUGAUAUUUAGUGAGUACUGUUUGUUCUUUGCUUCAAUCCUUGUUGCUGUGUGUUCAUUGCAGAAAGUAAAAAGCUGAAUGAUCUAGGCCCUUCCCUCAAACCCUUGGCAAGCCACUUGUUCAUCCAUAGAACAGAGCCUGUUCAUUGGGAAUUCUUAAGAUGGACAUGAACAGGCCUGGCGGGGGGGAGCAAUAAGCUUUUCAAUUAUACACAAAUGUUCUUUUCCUGUUAUCUACAUAUAUUUCACUUGGAAAAGCUGCAUUUAAAAAAAUGGCUGGAGAAAUGACUCCAUGGUUAAGAGUGCUUACUGCUUUUGCAGAGAACCAGAGAAUCACUCCAGUUCCUGGGGCAUCAGAUACAGAGUACUUCCAUUCAAGUGGUGCAUGUAGUCACAGUCAUAUCACACAUACACAAAUCUUUUAGAAAUGAGUUUACAAAAUGUUUCUAGCAGAAGCCAUAGGUAGAAAUUAUAAUUUAUUUAACUUUUUAAGAUUCUAAAAAAAUUUAUGUUUUGGUCCCAUACCUAGGAGAAGCCAGCUGGCACAGACAGGGUUGCUCAUCUUCAUUGAAUUUUUUUCUUUUUUUAAGAGAGAGAGAGAAAAAAAAAAGAGAACACAAAAUGGAGUAUGGAGACCUGGGAGAUGUUGGCAGAAUGAAUGUGUAUGAAAUUCUCAAACUAUACACAAUAUACUUUCUUGGCAUAUUGAAGCUGUUAACCAGUUUCCCACCGACUAGAACAAACUAUCAUGAGAAUAUGCUCAGACUUUAAAAUAACAAACGGAUUGGAGAGAUGACUCAACAGUUAAGAACACUGUCUGCUUUUUCAGAGAUCCUAAGUUCAAUUCCCAGCAGCCACAUGGUAGCUCACAACCAUCUGUAAUGGGUUCUGAUGACCUCUUCUAGUUUGUCUGGAGACAGUGACUAGCAUUGUACUAACAUCUAUAAAAUAAAUAAAUUUAAAAAAUAGGAUUACAAACAGGUAAACUAUUACAUGUGUUCCAUAUUUAGAAACACACAGUUGGAAAGCAUGCAACUAUUUUUUUUUUGAGGGGUUGGGGAGUGGGUGCCACCAGAACUACAUCCCUAGUCUAGUAAAAUCUUUUCUUUCCAGUUAUUAAUACUUGCUAAAUAUUUAUUGCUCAAGGAAACUUCCAUCUUGUCUAAAGCUUGGAAGUAGGUAUGAAUGGAUAGAAGAGUAAGAAUGCAUGGAAAAGUACUCUUGGAAAAUCUUGGUCAUUUUGGCCUUGCUCCAUCCUCCUAUACACCCAGAGCAAGGUACUUAACACUUUCUUUUGCUUUCAAGACAAAAGACCCACAACAAAAAGGCAAAAACCAAAAAACCCAAGCCGGCCAGUGAUGGCACACACAUUUAAUCCCAGCGCUUGGGAGGCAGAGCCAGGUAGAUUUCUGCGUUCAGGCCAGCCUGAUCUACAGUGAGUUCCAGGACAGCCAGGGCUACACAGAGAAACCCUGUCUUGAAAAAAACCAACC
rnacentral:lncRNA from 1 species